AGUCUGGUGCCAGCAGCUGCGGUAAUACCAGCUCCAAUAGCGUAUAUUAAAGUUGUUGCAGUUAAAAAGCUCGUAGUUGGACUUGUGUGCGCUGUCCGCGGGUGGCCUGCGCCCAAAAGGGCGUUUCGGUUCGGCCCCGGUGGCGCCUUGAAAUCUGCAGCUGGGGGGGACGUUGGCCUUAACUGGUCGGCGACCGCACGCCGGCUGCUCGGUUACUGUGAGAAAAUUAGAGUGUUCAAGGCAGGCAUUGGGUGCAAUUGAAUACAUUAGCAUGGAAUAAUAAAAUAUGGCUCCUGCCGUAUUUUGUUGGUUUUGACUGGUGGGAGUAAUGAUUGAUAGGGACGGUUGGGGGUGCUAGUAUUGAGCGGCCAGAGGUGAAAUUCAUGGAUUCGCUCAAGACUAACUUAUGCGAAAGCAUUCACCAAGGACGUCCUCUUUAAUCAAGAACGAAAGUUGGGGGAUCGAAGACGAUCAGAUACCGUCGUAGUCUCAACCAUAAACUAUGUCGACUUGGGAUCGGCGGUAGUUUUUUCAUUAAGACACUGUCGGGACCACGGGAGAAAUCAAAGUGUCUGGACUCUGGGGGAAGUAUGGUCGCAAGGCUGAAACUUGAAGGAAUUGACGGAAGGGCACCACCAGGAGUGGAGCCUGCGGCUUAAUUUGACACAACACGGGGAAACUUACCAGGUCCAGAGAUGUAGAGGAUUGACAGAUUGAAGCUCUUUCUUGAUCACUUCGGUGGUGGUGCAUGGCCGUUCUUAGUUGGUGGAGUGAUUUGUCUGGUUAAUUCCGUUAACGAACGAGACCUCAGCCUGCUAGUGUAGUCGGCUGGAUUGCCUUUGGCGAUCCGCGAUUUCGACUUCUUAGAGGGACAAUCGACGCGCAGUCGAUGGAAGUUUGAGGCAAUAACAGGUCUGUGAUGCCCUUAGAUGUUCUGGGCCGCACGCGCGCUACACUGCUGGGCUCAGCGAGUUUUACUUGGCCGAGAGGCUCGGUUAAUCUUGUGAAAUCCCAGCGUGCUUGGGCUCGCCUCCUGCAACUGGAGGCGCCAACGAGGAAUUCCUAGUAGACGCAGGUCAUCAACCUGCAUCGAUUACGUCCCUGCCCUUUGUACACACCGCCCGUCGUUCCAUAAGAGUGAGGCAUCCGGUGAAUUCUCGGGAGAGCCUGGGCGUAGCCAGCAAUGGUCUGCUCGGGUUUGAACUUGCAUAAACUUGGUGCCUAUGAUUAGGG
rnacentral:rRNA from 1 species